rnacentral:tRNA from 1 species
GGGGAUUUAAGUUAACUAAAACUAAUAGCCUUCAAAGCUUUAAUUGAUAUCGUCAAUCUCUA